rnacentral:rRNA from 1 species
AUAAGAUUGUAGUAUCGCAUGAUAUAGCAAUUAAAAGGAAGCAAUCCGCUAUAAGAUGGACCCGCGUCGCAUUAGCUAGUUGGUGAGGUAAUGGCUCACCAAGGCGACGAUGCGUAGCCGACCUGAGAGGGUGAUCGGCCACAUUGGGACUGAGACACAGCCCAGACUCCUACGGGAGGCAGCAUG